rnacentral:rRNA from 1 species
GACGAACGCUGGCGGCGUGCUUAACACAUGCAAGUCGAACGGAAAGGCCCUGCUUUUGUGGGGUGCUCGAGUGGCGCACGGGUGAGUAACACGUGAGUAACCUGCCCUUGACUUUGGGAUAACUUCAGGAAACUGGGGCUAAUACCGGAUAGGAGCUCCUGCUGCGUGGGGGGGGUUGGAAAGUUUCGGCGGUUUGGGCUGGUUUCGCGGCUUAUGCGCUUGUUGGUGGGGUAGGGGCUUACCAAGGCUUUGACGGGUAGCCGGCCUGGGAGGUGGACCGGCCACAUUGGUCCUGCGGUACGCACCAGACUCCUACGGGCGGCAGUAGUGGGGAAUAUUGCGCAAUGGGCGGAAGCCUGAUGCAGCAACGCCGCGUGCGGGAUGACGUCCUUCGGGUUGUAAACCGCUUUCGCCUGUGACGAAGCGUGAGUGACGGUAAUGGGUAAAGAAGCACCGGCUAACUACGUG